rnacentral:lncRNA from 1 species
UGCUCCAAACACCUCUCUACCCCUUCUGAUGUCCCGGUGGCCAGCGGUGCCUGGCCCUUCUCAUUCCUCAGGGCAGGUCCAGCGUGUCUAUUUACCAUGGAUCCAACUAGAAGUUUAUGCGGAGAGAGGCCCAGCCCCCUUCUCUGGAGCCCAGCACUGUCCUUCCCUCAAACCCCUGCUUCCCCAGGACAAGGCCUGCCUCCGAGGAGGGACGGACCUGGGAGCUGAGCCCUCCGCCCUCCGGGGUGUGCAUCUCCUGGCACCGUCAGCUCGUCAGCUCGUGAGAUGUGUCCUUGCUUCCUGUGAUCGUCGAGGUGAGCCUGGGCAGCCUUCGCCCGCAGGUUCCUCUGCAACGUGGCUCUGAUGUCGGUGCCCUUGGCCUGGGUCCUGAGUGCCUCUCUCAGCCAGUCCAUUGCUGUAGGCACCACCAUGCAAGUGGCAAGUCCCUGUUUCUGUCCAGCCUAUUCCUCCUCUUUGAGCUCUGCCUCCUAGAAGCAGACCUGACAUUGCUACGUGAAGCCUCCCAGAUGUUUCAAACGUGACCCGUCGCAGGGAGAAUUCUGGAUUCUCACCCCAUGUUGCCCGCGUCUUGCCUGUAUUACCUCCACCUUCCUAGCUGCUGAAGGCUGUGGUCCUGGAUUCCUCCCUACUUCUUACAGCCAACUUACCAUCAAGUCCAGCAAAUCCUUCCUCCAAAGUGGGUUCCACCGUGUGUCUCAGUUGCCACCACCUGGUUUCCUUUUGAACUACCAUCCUCCCUUACCCGGACUCUGCGGUGGCCUUGUGGCCCGGCUGCCGGCUUCCAAGGGAGGCUCCUCCGUUUCAAUCACAAUGAAGCAUUAAAGAAUCAUCAUUCAGACCACAAACCCUUUCCCCACAAGCCUUUCAAUGUGCUGUGUGUGUGUUCCGAACGUGACCAGAGCCUAUAAGGCCUUAAGCAUUGUUUUGUUUUCUCAUUUCCCAGCUUUGUCUUGUGUCCUCCCCACUGGC